rnacentral:rRNA from 1 species
GACGAACGCUGGCGGCGUGCCUAAUACAUGCAAGUAGAACGCUGAAGCUUGGUGCUUGCCCCGAGCGGAUGAGUUGCGAACGGGUGAGUAACGCGUAGGUAACCUGCCUGGUAGCGGGGGAUAACUAUUGGAAACGAUAGCUAAUACCGCAUAAGAGUAGAUGUUGCAUGACAUUUGCUUAAAAGGUGCAAUUGCAUCACUACCAGAUGGACCUGCGUUGUAUUAGCUAGUUGGUGAGGUAACGGCUCACCAAGGCAACGAUACAUAGCCGACCUGAGAGGGUGAUCGGCCACACUGGGACUGAGACACGGCCCAGACUCCUACGGGAGGCAGCAGUAGGGAAUCUUCGGCAAUGGACGGAAGUCUGACCGAGCAACGCCGCGUGAGUGAAGAAGGUUUUCGGAUCGUAAAGCUCUGUUGUAAGAGAAGAACGAGUGUGAGAGUGGAAAGUUCACACUGUGACGGUAUCUUACCAGAAAGAGACGGCUAACUACGUG